ensembl:lncRNA
GGGGGGGGGGGGGGGGGGGGGGGGGGGGGGGGGGGGGGGGGGGGGGGGGGGGGGGGGGGGGGGGGGGGGGGGGGGGGGGGGCCCCCCCCCAUCCCUUCACUGCCACGCUGCUCCCACACCCCGUGCUGGAUUUGUUUCACAAGGAUUUGUAAGAGGAAAAGGAAAAGGAAAGGAAAAAAGGAACGCUGCCUCCUUCCUGGCCAGGACAAUGCGGAUGGUUCGGGACUCGUGCCUCGCUGGAGCGGCGCGGAGGACGGAAGUGCAAUACGGAAAGUCCGAGCUCCGAGCGGAGGCAGCAGCGCUGUGCGCUAAUGUGAAUGUAAAUAGUGUCUGCAGAGGUCCAAAAAUGAGUAAUAAUUAUGAUAGCGAUGAUAAUAAUAAGAGACGUUUGCCAAAUAAAGGAUGAGGAGGAAGCGUGGAGCUGUGGCGCUGGCCGGAGCGAGGCCUGGCAGCGAGAGGAGCUGGAGUUUUUUCUGCGUUGGCAAAACCCAUCCUGUGUGUUUUCUGUAGGGGAGGAGGAGGAGGAGGGAAGGGCUCUGGGCUCGUGGGGGGGUUGUGCUGGCGGUCACAGGGCUGGGCCGGGUCACAGCAGAGCUUGGGACACGCCAGGGGUGAUGUCACAGCCCUGUGCCACCGGCACCCAGCCCUGCUGGGGGUUCUCUGCAUCCCCUGAGGGGGGUUCUGUGCACCCCGAGGUCUUGGUGCAUCCCCCCAGGGGAUUCCUGUGCACCCCAAGGUCUUGGCCCAACCCCGGGGACGUUUCUGUGCCCCCCAAGAUCUCAGUGCACCCCCUGGGUGGUUUCUGGGAGCUUUGCCGGGUGCCCCUCCCGUGACUGUUCACUUUAUUUAUGGUGUGACAUAUGUAAUAUUGUCUAUUUUUCUUACGUUUCCUGAGAAGAGGUAAUAUAUAAGAGUAUUGCAGAUGCCCCUGCUCGCCCGGGUGUCCGGUCUGUCCCUGCCCUCCCGCCUGUCCCCGCCUGUCCCCGCCUGUCCCCGGCCGGGGGGGGGGGGGGGGGGGGGGGGGGGGGGGGGGGGGGGGGGGGGGGGGGGGGGGGGGGGGGGGGGGGGGGGCUGCCUCUCUACCUCCACCUCGCCGGGAAACCGCGGGCGAGAGCACUUCCACAGGGACUGCUCUCCUUUCCACUCCACUCCCUGCUGGUUUGCUUUUUUGGAAUUAUUCUGAUUUUUUUUUUUUUUAAUUUUUUUUUUUUUUUUAAAUAAGAAUAAACCUACCCUACAGAACCUUGCAUUGAAACCAAAAGCCGAGGGAGGGGAGGGAGGGGACGGCGGUGACGGCCGAACCAGAACGACAGCUUUAAAUGCGANNNNNNNNNNNNNACCAAAAGCCGAGGGAGGGGAGGGAGGGGACGGCGGUGACGGCCGAACCAGAACGACAGCUUUAAAUGCGAGAUUUCCCAAAAAAAAAAAAAAAAAAAAAAAAAAAAAAAAAAAAAAAAAAAAAAAAAAGGGGGGGGGGGGGGGGGGGGGGGGGGGGGGGGGGGGGGGGGGGGGGGGGGGGGGGGGGGGGGGGGGGGGGGGGGGGGGGGGGGGGGGGGGGGGGGG